GUGGGUAUAGCUUAGUGGUAGAGCAUGUGCUUAGCAUGUGCAAAGUAGUGGGUUCAAUCCCCAGUACCUCCA
rnacentral:tRNA from 1 species